rnacentral:rRNA from 1 species
UACGUAGGGUGCGAGCGUUGUCCGGAAUUAUUGGGCGUAAAGAGCUUGUAGGUGGUUUGUCGCGUCUGCUGUGAAAAUCCGAGGCUCAACCUCGGACUUGCAGUGGGUACGGGCAGACUAGAGUGUGGGUAGGGGGAGACUGGAAUUCCUGGUGUAGCGGUGGAAUGCGCAGAUAUCAGGAGGAACACCGAUGGCGAAGGCAGGUCUCUGGGCCCAUUACUGACAC